rnacentral:rRNA from 1 species
UACGUAGGUGGCAAGCGUUGUCCGGAUUUAUUGGGUUUAAAGGGUGCGUAGGCGGUCUUUUAAGUCAGUGCUGAAAUAUCCCGGCUUAACCGGGAGGGUGGCAUUGAUACUGAAGGACUUGAGUACAGUCGAGGUAGGCGGAAUUGACGGUGUAGCGGUGAAAUGCUUAGAUAUCGUCAAGAACACCGAUAGCGAAGGCAGCUUACUGGGCUGUAACUGACGCUGAUGCACGAAAGUGUGGGG